CGGGGGCUGGGAACAAGGCGCCUGAGGCGCGCGUCCGCGCUGAACGUUCCAGCCGCCCCCGGCCGGACGGGUUUCAGGUUUGAAAAGGUGGGAAGGUUGGCUGUCCUGACGCUUUUUCUCCACGUGUUGUGCGGCUCCGCUGGAGUUCGAGUCCAGCACUUUCUACUCCGAGGGAGAGAGCCGCGGGGAGAGCCCCGUUCGGGCUCGCGGCUCGAACUGGCCGCCGGCUCCGCUGGGCAGCCUCGACACCAGGGCACCCCCGGGAGGGAGGGCGCGGCUCGGGUCCCUGCCCGAGCCCCAGGGGUGCUGAGAGACUCCCCAGCGCCCUGCGUGGGCUCCCGGCCUCUCCACAGUUGAGGAUCCUGUAAGGAGCGAGCCCUUUUCCCAUAAUGGCUGUACUGAGUGGGAGUGCUUUCCCGAUUGACCCGCUGUGAAUAGCAUUGCAGAUGAUCCCUGUAAAAGAAAUCUGAUCACAUUCACACGCUGCUCCGCCCAUUUCACUCAGUAAAGCCGAAGUCCUGCAGUGCUUUGCUCUGCCUUGGGCCACCCCGCCGUCCUCCCAGACCCUCCCUCCUUCUCACUCCACUCCAGCUGCCCUGGUCUAGUUCAGAGUCCCUGACUUUUCCCACCCCGGAAACACUUUCUUCUGGCGGCUCUUGUCCCCGACUCUUCCCACUCUCUUUAAGUCUUUGCUCAAAUGUUGCCUCUUCAGUGUGGCCUAGACCAUCACCACCUGGCCUUCGCCGCAUACCUUUUUCUCUGCAACUCCUACCCAACACACCGUACUAUAGAACUUACUAGCAUGCUAUAAAUUUAUUACCCUUAUCUGUUGCUUCUAACCAAAAGCGUGUUCCAUGAGAGCCAAGGUUCUCUGCCUACUUCUGUCUUGUUUCUGGGGCAGCCUCUGUACCUGGACACCAUAUACUCUUCAUACGGAUUUGUCAAAUCAAAUGAAAUUUAACAAUGCAAACUUCACAAGUAUGCAUAUUGUAGGAAAAUUCCCUAAAAUUCAGAAUUUCAGUCUACCUCUAUCUUUUCAAAUGACCACAGUGCUUUAUAAAAAUGACAUUGUUCUUUGAGACUGUUUCACAGAGUAAUUUGUGCAAAUGCAAUGUGCAAAAAGUCACAAUGGAGGUGUUUCCUCCCCCAUUCAAGAGCUGCUCUCUCCGUAAUCAGACAGCACCCCACACCCCAAGGCGUUUCUGUCCAGUGCUACUAAAGGAAAGCAGCUCCCCUUUUCCAGUUAUGGAAAAUAUGAGCAAUAAAGCAUUACUGUCAAUGCCGUGAUGCUCACU